rnacentral:rRNA from 1 species
AUUGAACGCUGGCAGCAGGCUUAACACAUGCAAGUCGAACGAGUGGCGGACGGGUGAGUAAUGCUUGGGAAUCUACCUUAUGGAGGGGGAUAACUACGGGAAACUGUAGCUAAUACCGCAUACCAUAGGAUGUGCCCAAGUGGGAUUAGGUAGUUGGUGGGUUAAAGGCUCCCCAAGCCGACGAUCUCUAGCUGGUCUGAGAGGAUGAUCAGCCAGACUGGGACUGAGACACGGCCCAGACUCCUACGGGAGGCAGCAGUGGGGAAUAGUGCACAAUGGGCGCAAGCCUGAUGCAGCCAUGCCGCGUGUAUGAAGAAGGCCUUCGGGUUGUAAAGUACUUUCAGUCGGGAGGCGUUACCGACAGAAGAAGCACCGGCUAACUCCGUGCCAGCAGCCGCGGUAAUUC